GACGUAGGGCGCGAGCGUUGUCCGGAUUUAUUGGGCGUAAAGAGCUCGUAGGCGGCUUGUCGCGUCGGCUGUGAAAACCCGCGGCUCAACUGUGGGCGGGCAGCUGAUACGGGCAGGCUGGAGUUCGGUAGGGGAGACUGGAAUUCCUGGUGUAGCGGUGAAAUGCGCAGAUAUCAGGAGGAACACCGGUGGCGAAGGCGGGUCUCUGGGCCAUAACUGACGCUGAGAAGCGAAAGCAUGGGGAGCGAACAGG
rnacentral:rRNA from 1 species